AAGGGAGUGUAAACUUUGUUUCUCUCUAUACCACCAGGAAUGCCACACCCAUAGGCCUUAACACAUAGCUUUCGUUGCUUUUAUCUCCUAUAGCCCAUGCUGUUCUAAGCCAUCUAAGAUAACAUGCGAUUGGCCAUGCUGGCGCGGAUGAAGGGAGUUGUAGUCCGACAUUUCUGAAGGGUGCCAGGUUAGGGAAGGCUGUUUUGAGGUCUACUGCAUCUUUGCACCCUGGAAAACUCUUUGCCGAGGGAUCCUACUGGAGUAUUCUCCUCCACUUCAUGACCGCUGGCCUUCCUGCUCCAUUGCUGGGCUUACCUGGUGAUGGUGGCUGAAGUGACUGAGUCUCUGAAGAUUCCUAUUUGGGAAGAUGGCCAUUGUCUGGUGCAGCUCAGGACCAGUGGUGAUGGAGAAGCAGCAUUGAUGGAACGCCAGCUGAGGACCUUUCCACAUUCUCCUAAAGGCUUGUCACGGACAGAGGAAGAUCCUAAAAAUCCCAUGUCUCCUGGAAUGCCCUCCUAGGAAUCAUAGGAUUGCACCCUAAAUUCCUACCCAUUACUAUUCUGAAAUGUUUAUGAGCGCAUUGUGAGGAAUAGAAAGUCUGCUCUGGGGAUUAUGAGACCUUAUGGGAGAAGUGUGGGGUGCAUGGGGACACAAGGGAGAGGAGGGCAAGAAUUCUCAGCUCCCUUCUCUCCUCCACUCACAACAUCUGCUCUUGCCUUAACUUGUUUUGGUAAGUUGCUCUGAGGAGGCUUUCUGCUUGGAAGGAUAACAUUAGAGAUGUGUGAGGAAUGAGGAAUCUGCUUUGGGUGGAAAAUCUGCUGGAUUCUCUAGUUUUUGGCAGACUCCGGGAAGUCUGCAGCAGCCCAGAGUCUGAAUUCCUGGUGAGCGUCCCCAGGGAUUGUGUGGUGCCUGCCAGAUACGGAGCCCCAUGUGCUAUUCAAACAGUGCCAUUCUUCCACUCCUCCUGCUGCCACAGGCUGGCUGCCAGAAAUGGUGGCUAGGGAAGGUUGCCAACCGUGCAACUAGGGGUCCAUGGACACUCACAGAUUUCUAGGCUUGGGUUGCUUCCUUAGAGAGGGAUGAACACUGGAAGAAAUCUGACAGGCAGGUCCAAAGCAGGUUCUGGAGAGGCUCAGCACAUCCCUAGGGAGCUGUGCAGCUAAUGGGGUAGGCAAGAAAUCCGAUCGACUGAUCGAUCGAUCGAUCAAUCACUAACAUCAGUCAGUGAAGAGAAUAAAAUUAAGCAGGUGGGAGCUAAAUGGAGAAGGGACCAAAUUCCAAAUAGGUGUUGUCAAAAGGCUUGUGGGCCAGGUGGACAUCAAGGCCACUGCUGAGGUUCUGCAGUAGAGGCCCACUAACAAAGUAAUGAGGCCCGCUAACUGAGCCACCUGGAGCUGGUCCUGCUCUUCACUGCUGCUACCUGACUGCUCGCCUGCCUCGCUGAUUGGUCCUGGCAGUGGUUGCAGAAGGCAGGAGGUGGGGCAGAUGGCCUGGGCUGCUUCCCCCUGGUCUUCUGCCUGUUCAGUUAGCAAGUGGUACCAGGGAAGAGAAAGAAGAUGAAGGGCAAGAACUGCUUAUUACCUAUAAAGCAGCUCACCUGAUCCUGAUCCCCCACCUACUUAAAGUAGUCAAGAUGCAGUCCUAUGGGGAUGCCCAUAACCCGCUGAAUUCCAAGAAAUACGGGCAUCUUAUGCUAGUAGUGCCUGGGUAAAGGUCACCUCCUCCCACCCUGCAAGACGGCUGAGUGGCUAAUUUCAGCUGACUAACUGUAAUGAAGGGGACUGAGGCACCUCCGGGUUAUGUUGUGUCUUGAUAGGAUUGUUCUCAUCCCUUCCCCCUUCCUCCAAACACCCCUUGAACCCCUUUUCCCUUCUGUGACCUUGGAGAAGCAGCUGAUUCAGUUCUUGCCACUCCACCUGGAAGUGGGAGCAGGACUAUCAAAAGGCAUUGCUGGGACUCUAAAAAAAGUCUUUGGCAUUUUAAGCAGUGUCUAGAGAUUAUAGGAUCAUUCUGUGAGUCUCGAAAACAGGAAGUGAAAAACUAAUCUUUCAUCUGUACUGGAGGAAGAACAUGGAAUGGGCAGACCGCAAGCCUAAGGCUUGCUGGUGCUAAAGUAUGAAAUACUAAACCAUAGUUCAGCAUUACAACCAAAAGCAGACUUUACUAGACCUGCAGCAAAUCUCCUGUAGGGACUGGAAAGCUGAGGGAUGCUCAAAUGGGCCAAUAUUCUCCCAACUUCUCUUCAGACUUCAGUUUGGCUUGCUUCUGCCCUCAUUUGUAAAUUUUUGUGCUUUUUAUUGUUGUUCAUUCAGAUGGAAAAGUGCAUUUUUCAGAAAGGUACCUUUCCCCCUAUUGAUUAAAGCAUGACUAUGCACUGUUUUAAAAGUGUACAAUUCUUAA